rnacentral:lncRNA from 1 species
UCCGUACCACUUCCCGAUGUUCCAUGUAGGGCGGAGGACAUGUUUAAGGAAGGAGACAACAUACAUCCAAAUAAAGAUGUUGGCUAUAAGGAUGAUCGAAAGAUUUAGUUUCAAGGUGGCAGCGAGAAUGAGGUUGAGUUUGUCUCUACUUUAAAGAUGAAGAGGUUUAAUAGUAUCAGUGAGGAGGAGAGAAAAAAAGGUGCAAAGGUGGCGGUGACUUUGUAAUGGCUUGAUGUCUUUACCGAUUGUUGUAUAGUCCAAUCAUAGAUUUGGUCUUGAAAGACCUAAACUUCCAUUAGUUGGAUUUUGUGGUUGGAGAGUUCCCUUGUCGCAACCAAAAAUUAUUUCCCGUUACUUCACGUGGUUAACUUUUGGCCACGUGGAUAUAUUUAGCAUUCAAAUUAUGCCUUCACAAAAGUAUUUAACUAAAACCAGAGGAUUAUUUUUUUUCUUUUUGAAGAGAAUUAAAAUCAAAGGAGUUGGGGUAUGAUUUCUUUAAGCUUUUUACUUUUUUACUGGAUUGUAUAUGAUUAGAUAUGAUUGUAUAUUGGCACAUUAAACCUUGCUUUGUGUGGCAUGGAACUGGCAUGUAGCAUGGGCUGAAAAAAAUUAUAGUCAGUGAAAGGCAGGUGGUCAAUCUUCAGAGGCAAGCAGUGGCUCUUAACUUAAGUCCUUCCUGGAUGUGAUCUGUCGGAGUAUAGCUAAGAGGAUGAUCUAUACCUGGGGAAUAGGAAGGCUUACAUCGCCUAUCAGAUCUAAUUUUUUAGAAACAACUUAAUCUAAUAAUGAUUUUCAAUAUUCCUAAUUUUCUAUUUUAAUACUAUUCUAAUUGGAAUAGAUAGAUUGUCUU